CAAUAGCGUAUAUUAAAGUUGUUGCAGUUAAAAGCUCGUAGUUGGAUUUCUGGCAGGAGUGACCGGCCGCACACACUGUGUGCGAGUUGCGUCAUUCUGGCCAUCCUUGGUGAGAUCCUGUUUGGUCAUUAAGUUGUCGGGCAGGGAGUAACCAUCGUUUUACUGUUGAAAAAAUUUAGAGUGUUUAAAGCAGGCUUAUGCCGUUGGAUAUAUUAGCAUGGAAUAAUAAGAUAGGACUUUGAGUCUAUUUUGUUGGUUGCGAGUCAAAGUAAUGAUUAAUAGGGACAGUUGGGGGUAUUCGUAUUUCAUUGUCAGAGGUGAAAUUCUUGGAUUUCUGAAAGACGAACUACUGCGAAAGCAUUUACCAAAGGAUGUUUUUUCAUUAAUCAAGAACGAAAGUUAGGGGGAUCGAAGACGAUUAGAU
rnacentral:rRNA from 1 species